ACACUGAGUUUGGAGAUAGAACUUAUUUACAAAUUAAAGGUAGGAUUCUGAGUUGAUUCUGAAUGUUUAAGCUCCUGGUUUAAUGUAGUGAUAUUUUCCUGAUGACUGUUAACAUGUUCAACCUGGAAGAUAAAUAAUAGUGAAGUAGUGAAAUGUUAACUGUGUUUUCUUCAACAACACUGAGUUACAGACUUUUACUAAGUGAAUCCUGAUCAAUGUUUAUAGGUGAUCAUGUUACUAUUGCAUCAGAAACAUCUAAAGCAGCUCUGGGUAAUUAUUCAGUGGUGUGUGAACCAACACCGCAUGGAAACAACACUAACACCAACACACAACACAACACAGGUGAGAUGUCAGUGUUUUGUACUAAUCUAAAUAUAAUGUGGUGAAAUAACAGAAUCAGAAAUGAUCAGAUCUCUACAUCGGACAGUGAUCGGUUUGGGAUCGGCUUUGGGUUUGUGCGCACUUCUGAUUUUCUGUCUCACUUAUUUCAUACUGAGGAGAAGAAAAGGUGAUAAAAUAAAUGCUUCUAUUGAAGAUUCUCCAGGAACAAUGCAGGAAUCUGAAGCUGAAACACUGAAUUACGCAGCUCUAAAAUUCUCCAAGAAGAAAGUCAAAGCUGAAAAGAGAAAAACUGGAUCAUCAGAUGAGUGUGUGUACUCGAGUGUGAAUACAGCUGUAAGAUAUAAGAUAUAAUGUAGAUGAUUCAUAACACAGUGAAACACAGGAGAAAAACAGUGAUCAUGUUUUAGCAAAUUAAAUAUCUUGACUACAUGGAAAUUUAUUUGAGAUUUUCAUUUUAAACAUCUAAUUACUACAAGAUUA